rfam:Pteropus alecto contig41995, whole genome shotgun sequence.
GUCUAUGGCCAUGCCACCCUGAAUGAGCCCGAUGUCUGAUCUCAGAAGCUAAGCAGGGUUGGGUCUAGUUAGUAUUUAGAUGGGAAACCACCUAAGAAGACCAGGUGCUGUAGGCA